rnacentral:ribozyme from 1 species
AUUGCCCGCCCCUGCCAUAGCAGAAGUGCUCAUGGAGCGGCCUGUCAGAUUCCAAUGAAUCUGCAAAUUCUACU